rnacentral:rRNA from 1 species
GCGGAGGAAAAGAAACCAACAGGGAUUGCCCCAGUAACGGCGAGUGAAGCGGCAAAAGCUCAAAUUUGAAAUCCUGCGGGAAUUGUAAUUUGAAGGUUUCGUGGUCUGAGUCGGCCGCGCCCAAGUCCAUUGGAACAUGGCGCCUGGGAGGGUGAGAGCCCCGUAUGGCGCACGCCGACUCUUUGCACCGCGGCUCCGACGAGUCGAGUUGUUUGGGAAUGCAGCUCUAAGUGGGUGGUAAAUUCCAUCUAAAGCUAAAUAUUGGCGAGAGACCGAUAGCGAACAAGUACAGUGAUGGAAAGAUGAAAAGCACUUUGAAAAGAGAGUGAAACAGCACGUGAAAUUGUUGAAAGGGAAGGGCUUGCAAGCAGACACGGUUUUACCGGGCCAGCGUCGAAAAGGGGGGAGGAACAAGAACUCGAGAAUGUGGCGCGCACCUUCGGGCGCGCGUGUUAUAGCUCGUGUUGACGCCUCCAUCCCUUUUCGAGGCCUGCGAUUCUAGGACGCUGGCGUAAUGGUUGCAAGCCGCCCGUCUUGAACCACGGACCAAA